rnacentral:rRNA from 1 species
UAUAAAGUCUGACCUGCUCACUGACGUUGUUAAAUGGCCGCAGUAWUUUAACUGUGCAAAGGUAGCAUAAUCAUUAGUCUUUUAAUUGAGGGCUUGUAUGAAUGGUUGGACGAGAUAUURRCUGUYUCAUAUCAAGUUAAUAGAAUUUUAUUUUUUAGUCAAAAAGCUAAAAUUAUAAUAAAAGACGAGAAGACCCUAUGGAUCUUUAUAUUGRUAUKAUURUUAUAAUURUUUAGAUUAUUUUAAUURUAAUAUWUUUCAGUAUUUUGUUGGGGUGACAUUAAGAUUUGAUUAACUCUUAAUAUAAAUUUACAYARRUUAGUGAAUAUAUUGUGAUCCAAUUUUAUUGAUUGAAAAAUUAAGUUACCCUAGGGAUAACAGCGUAAUUUUUCUAGAGAGCUCAUAUCGAUAGGAAAGAUUGCGACCUCGAUGUUGGAUUAAGGUUAAUGGUGGGCGCAGAAGUUCAUAUUAUUAAGUCUGUUCGACUUUUAAUUUCUUACAUGAUCUGAGUUCAAACCGGCGUAAGCCAGGUUGGUUUCUAUCUUUAUUGAAAUAAAAURYUUUAGUACGAAAGGACCRGRUAUUUAGUUUAUUAAAAYUUGUUAAAUUGARUUUGAUUAAAUU